rnacentral:pre_miRNA from 1 species
AAAAUACUCCCUCCGUCUCAAAAUAAGUGUCUCAACUUUGUACUAACUUUAGCAAAGUUAGUACAAAGUUGAGACACUUAUUUUGGGACGGAGGGAGUACGAU